UACGGAGGGUGCGAGCGUUGUCCGGAAUCACUGGGCGUAAAGGGCGCGUAGGCGGCCUGAUAAGUAGGGGGUGAAAUCCUGCGGCUUAACCGCAGGGCUGCCUUCUAGACUGUCAGGCUAGAGCACAGUAGAGGCAGGUGGAAUUCCCGGUGUAGCGGUGGAAUGCGUAGAGAUCGGGAAGAACAUCAGUGGCGAAGGCGCUCUACUGGACCACAACUGACACUCAGGGACGAAAGCUAGGGGAGCGAGUGGG
rnacentral:rRNA from 1 species